rnacentral:lncRNA from 1 species
AGGCUGUUGAACAAGUCAUAAUAUGUAAUUUUCAUCUAGAGCAUUUGAUCAGCUAAAGCAAGGGUAUAAAAUAUAAACAUCCCUUACAGAUGUUUCAAAAUUGCUUUUAUACUGUACAGGAGUCCCAAAGCCUGUUUUGAGGGUCAUACAUGGGUGCUGCACUGCGUCAUCGAUGCUUUGAAGAAAAUUCAGGUACAGUGUAUAUGAGUCCCUCAAGAAGGCAAUCACAAGUUCUUAAAGGUCACCUUUGCAGAACAACAUGAACUUUGUCUAACUUUGAAAAAUUAAUCAUACCAUCUUUGAAAAUUACACUGAAAAUAGCCCUAUAUUUCACCUUUGCACUAGUAAUGUAAGUAUUUCAACUAAAAAUGAAUAAAGGAAAAAAGGUUACAAAAUUUUUGAGAAACUACCUACUUGCCAAAAGAAUAAAAAGACUAUCUAUCCCACCAUAAAAGAGUAGGGUGGAGGACCUUCCAAAGAGAGAUGAGAGGUUAGACACGUUUCUG